rnacentral:rRNA from 1 species
CUCCGUGCCAGCAGCCGCGGUAAUACGGAGGGGGUUAGCGUUGUUCGGAAUUACUGGGCGUAAAGCGCGCGUAGGCGGACAUUUAAGUCAGAGGUGAAAUCCCAGGGCUCAACCCUGGAACUGCCUUUGAUACUGGGUGUCUUGAGUUCGAGAGAGGUGAGUGGAAUUCCGAGUGUAGAGGUGAAAUUCGUAGAUAUUCGGAGGAACACCAGUGGCGAAGGCGGCUCACUGGCUCGAUACUGACGCUGAGGUGCGAAAGUGUGGGGAGCAAACAGGAUUAGAUACCCUGGUAGUCCACACCGUAAA